rnacentral:lncRNA from 10 species
GUUCUCACGAGAUCUGAUGGUUUUAUAAGGAGCUCAUCCCCCACUUCGCUGGGCACUUUUGCCUCCUGCUGCCGUAUGAAGAGGGACGUGUUUGCUUUCCCUCUGCCAUGAUGGGAAGAGACACCCAGCUUGGCGCUCCAGUUUUUUCAACCUGGGAGACAGACAGAGGUUUGGACAUCUCACGUGAUUAGUGCUACAGUGUCAUGCUGGCAUGUGGAAAGGCCGACUUCCUGGGCUGGAGGGCACACCGUUUCUGGGCCUGCCUUUCACACUCUCUUCUGUGUUCUGAUGCGAACGUGGCAAAAGGAGGAGGCUCUGGUCACCACCCAGCGGAACAUGAUGGUAUUUUGAUUUCAGAAGCAUGAAUUCUGACAGACAAAUACAACCAAUGGCUGUUCCCUAGGCUGUUAUUCUAGAAAAGACAAGUUUCACAAUGAACUAUUUUAGGGAGAAAAUACAUUAAAAUUCCAAAAAUGUUUAAUAAAGUUUUUUCCUCUGCAUUAGAUGACACAAUUUUGACUUUUUUCCCUCUGUUUUGUAUUAUUACAAUUUAAAAUGAGGAAAGCUAUGUAGUCAAUUCAGGUUAAUUUGCUGUUAUUUUGCCAUCUUAUUUCACUGCAUUAUUAAAACAUUUAGAACUGUGUGUGUCAUUAGUAUUCCAAAAUGUAAUUAGCAUAUUUAAUCAAAAACAAUUAAGAACAAAUACUGCUUCCCUUUUUAAGUAAUAAAAUAUUUACUACUGUAAAAACAAAUGGAAACCAAACAAUACUUUGAGGACUGAUUUCUGAGAAGAAAGGAAAGAAAGCGCGAAAGAGAGACAGAAAAAUAGAUGGGAAAAAGAGAGAAAGAAAAGAAAAAGAGACAAAGAAAGGGCGGGAAAGGAGAAAAGAAUCCCAAGGAGACUUGCCAACUCUAAGAUCCCUCUGGUGGAUUUUUUUACCAUUAUUUUUUUCCUCUUGGGAAUUUUGAUUCCUAUAAGCCAAGUGCAAAGAAAUAAAAUUUUAUUACUACUUCUCAAAACCAUCAUAAAGGGCAAUGUGUGAACUAAGAAAAGUUAUGUAAUUUCCUACCUAGGAAUUUGAUUGCCCAGCUGAAAAUUUCCUUUGGUAAAAAUAAGUUUGGAUGCUAAAUUUUUGAAUGAGACCUUGAGAUAGCAGAAACAAAAAGAAAAAAUGAAAAAAAAAAAAAAGAGGGCAUUUGAAAAUCGGUAGACUCUUUGCGCACUUGGAGGAGACUUUGAGAGGUUAUCUGAAUAGUUCCUUGCCAGCCAGCUAGCCUCUGGGCUUUUGCUGUGGUUUGAUCUAUAGCAAGAUGCUGUACUGCUUUGGAUUUCAUGUACUCUAUCUUGUUUACAGCCCAUCGUAUCGUAGGGACUUGGACUUUAUGCCUCAUGCCCUGACACCUGGAGUCUCCAGGACUGUGCAAACCAGUUGCACU